GUCGGAAUCGCUAGUAAUCGCGGAUCAGCAUGCCGCGGUGAAUACGUUCCCGGGCCUUGUACACACCGCCCGUCACACCAUGAGAGUCGGGAACACCCGAAGUCCGUAGCCUAACCAAUCUGGAGGGCGCGGCCGAAGGUGGGUUCGAUAAUUGGGGUGAAGUCGUAACAAGGUAAC
rnacentral:rRNA from 1 species